rnacentral:pre_miRNA from 11 species
UUGAGCAGGAAAGGUUAGGGCUCCGAAUGUAGGUCGUGACUUGUGCCCGUUUGCUGAAUUUUAAUGGUCAAAUUGCACUUGUCCCGGCCUGCAGCCAAGAGCCAGAGCAUCGCCAACGUUGA